AAAGGAGAUUAGGUGAUCGCGCCUUGUCAUCUUGGCAAGGGGAGGAAAGUCCGGGCUCCGUAGAGCAGGGUGCUGGAUAACGUCCAGUGGGGGUGACCCUAAGGAAAGUGCCACAGAGAAUAGACCGCCAGUUACGCGGGUGGAACGGCGAGCCGCUACCCGGCGUCUUCUGGCAAGGGUGAAACGGUGCGGUAAGAGCGCACCAGUCCCGGUGGUGACAUCGGGAGCUUGGUAAACCCCACCCGGAGCAAGACCAAAUAGGGAGGCGAUCCCACUUUUCUCUCUGAGUGGGGAGAAGUGGGAUAAGGGUUGCUCGCCCGAUGUCUCCGGGUUAGGUCGCUUGAGGCAUACGGUAACGUAUGCCCUAGAGGAAUGAUCAUCGCCGUUCGCUAAGGCGAGCGGAACAGAACCCGGCUUAUUGAUCUGCUUUGUCC
rnacentral:RNase_P_RNA from 1 species